UUUUUCUAUCCCAUAAGUUGAACUAUACAUCAUGGUUAAGUAAGCAAAAUUGUACAAACACAUACAAGCAUAUCUAAAUAACCAAAUUUCACUUGCAACAUAACCAAUUCAUACAUUGCUCACUUGACUAACAUUAAUUAUUUUUCAUGUCAUUUAAUGUUAGGAUUUCGACCCGAUUAAGCAACGAAUAAGAAAAUAGCAGAAUAAAUUGAGAAAUUAAACACAAAUUUAACGUGGAAAAACCCCUCAAAAGAGGAUAAAAACCACGGGCAAAGAUAAUUUUACUAUAAUGGCAAAAGAACGAAGAGUACAAAAUAUGGAGAUAAAACUAAACCCUAAAAACAAAAAACCCACAAAACGUAAACACAAAAUUCUCUAAAUAUGUUAUGAGUUCUAAUCUCUAAUGGGUAUGUUUUCUAAGGUUGUAAAAGAGCCUAUUUAUAGGCUAAAUUCAUAAGUAAAAUAAUAGUAAAAUAAUCUAAACUAAUCUGUGUUUGAUUGAAACAAGUAAACAGAGUUUAACUGAAAGACUAUUUUUCAAAUUUGACUGAAAAUAGGAGUCAUAUUUAACAAAUCUCCACCUUGACUCAUAUUUUCACAAUGCCAUCUUUGGCAAAGCCCGCCACGAGCCUAUCUUGAACUAUGCAGGGAAUUAACUGAGUCGAAUUUGUGCUUAGAAACUGGAAGACUUCUAGCCUUCGACUUGUACACUGCCAAAUCAAAACUAACCCGGGUCUGAUUUUCACGAACACAGUGUCCUAACUUUUCAAAACUUGCAUCUAAAAGAGAACCUCUCUUCAAUGAAACAGUCAUACCUUUUUCCCUCCUAUGACCAAGUUGCCUCCGCUCCAAACAAGUUGACUUCAACUCCGUAACGGACGAGGGACGUCCGAUUUCGCCGGUCACUGUAUAACCUUUCAGAAUAUAAAGACUGUCGGUUCUUUUACCUUUUAACAAAACGAGAGCUCCAUGAGAUACUUUAAUACCGCUCGACUCGAUGUUAAUUUUGCAUCCUUUCAAGUCUAAAAUACUUAAGGAGAUGAGAUUCUUUCGUAAAUCAGGUACAUAUCUGACAUCUGAGAGUGUCAUAAUCGUCCCAUCGUGCAUCUUAAUUUUAACAGUACCAAUACCAAUUACCUUACUAGAUGAAUCGUUUCCCAUGCGCACAACUCCACCUUCAAUUGAACUGUAUGUGGAGAACAAUUCUCUAUUGGGACACAUGUGGAAAGAACAUCCUGAAUCUAGGAUCCACUCGGACGUGAGCUUGGUGUUAUCACUUGUUGACACUAACAAGAAAUCAUCCCCAUUUUCAUCGGCCAAAUUAGCACCAACUACAUCUUCCUCGUUACUCUCAGCAACUUUUUUUAUUUCGCAGUUUAUAACAAUUUACUUUGACGUGACCUAACUUUUUACAAUAGCGACACCUUUUAUCUCGUUUCUUUGAUGCUACCAAAACGGAAACUUGUCUAUCUGUCUUGCUAUCCAAAUGAAGCUCAUUGUCGAGUUUGUCUCUACUCAACAAAUGACCCUUCACAUCUUCGAACGAGAGUUUGUCUCUGCCAUAAAUCAGGGUCUCUCUGAAAGACUUGUAUGAAUGGGGUAAAGAGCACAAUAAUAGCAUAGCUUGAUCUUCAUCGUCAAUAUUAGCCUCAACAUUCUUUAAAUUACUUAAAAGAGUAAUGAAUUGACUGAUGUGAUCUCUAAGAAGCUCACCUUCGUUCAAGCGAAACGUAAAUAGACGUUUCAACACUAAACGGUUAGCCAGAGACUUAAUCGCAUAAAAAGUUUCUAACCUUUUCCACAAUGUAGAUGAGGUCUUCUCCAUCAAUACCUCCUGCAAUACCGUAUUCGUGAGGCACAAUUGGAUUGCAGAUAAAGCCUUUUCAUCAACCUCUUCCCAUUCUGUUUUAUUUAGAUUCUCAGGCUUUUUCCCGAUAACAACCUUUUUCAAGCCUGAUUGAACUAGAAUUGCCAUCAUCCGAACUUGCCACAGAUUAAAAUUUGUCUCACCAUCGAACUUCUCAAUUUCAAACCUUGUUGCCAUCUCUGAACAGGCUGACCUAUGAAAAUUAAACUAGUUCUGAUACCACUUAUUAGGAUUUCAACCCGAUUAAGCAACGAACAAGAAAAUAGCAGAAUAAAUUGAGAAAUUGAACACACAAAUUUAACGUGGAAAAAACCCUCCAAAGAGGAUAAAAAAUCACGGGCAAAGAUAAUUUUACUAUAAUGGCAAAAGAACAAAGAGUACAAAAUAUGGAAAUAAAACUAAACCCCGAAAACAAAGACCCCACAAAACGUAAACACAAAAUUCUCUAAAUGUGUUAUGAGUUCUAAUCUCUAAUGGGUAUGUUUUCUAAGGUUGUAAAAGAGCCUAUUUAUAGACUAAAUUCAUAAGUCAAAUAAUAGUAAAAUAAUCUAAACUAAUCAGUAUUUGAUUGAAACAAGUAAACAGAGUUUAACUGAAAGACUAUUUUUCAAAUUUGACUGAAAAUAGGAGUCAUGUUUAACAUUUAGCCAAAUCAAAACAUGUCAAUUUCAUAUGCUAU
rnacentral:lncRNA from 1 species